rnacentral:lncRNA from 1 species
UUGGAGAGGCACUCAAAGAAAGCUCACAGCAGGUGAGCAGAAGGCAGGAGAUACGAAAGGAAGCCAGGCGGUGGGGUAAUCAGGAGGUCAUGUUGUGGAGCCAGAGGUCAGAGCACUUUGAGAUCUGCACAGGAAGCACAAAGCUCUGGUUACCACUGGAAGCCGUCUUGCCCCCAUAAACCAGCCUUAGGAUGCCACUGAUGCUGUAUGGCAGAAUGGAGUAACAGAGAGAAUUUGCAGAAUAAAGAAGGGACAAUGCAGUCACCAGGUCAGCAUUAAGGGAAGGCUUGGCUGCAUCAUCUGCCACUCUGCUGCUGCUGACUCUGCCAGUGGGGACAGCACAUGCUUCCUUCUACGCUUGCCUGAGGUUCGUAACUUCAGAGCCCCACAGCAUUUCUGGAAGGAGUAAAAUGAGCUACAUGGUCCGGGAAGCUACUCCUAAGUAGAGUUCACAAUCAAAGGAAUAGAAGCUGGGGAAAACAAUAAAGCAGUCUUCUUCUUCUCAA